rnacentral:lncRNA from 1 species
CGCAAAAGGACAGGGGAGGGCCUGUCCCCUGGGGACUCAGAUUCCAGGCAGGGAAGGCACGGAGAGGAGAGGACGAGGAGUGCUGAGAACAAUAGACAACAGGGCUAUGUGUGAGCGUCCCAGGGGGCAGGUUCAGAUCGGGUGGCGGAAGGCCUGUCUGGCAAAGGGACAUUUGCGUGGCUGCCCUAGUGCUGAGGACGCAGGGCGAGGCACUGCAAACAAAGGUUCAGCUUCUACGGAAGCUUAGCGGGUCCAAGGAGGGCUGUGGCACAGGGGUGGCACAAUCCCAUUUGCGUUUUCCCUAUGCCGUUUGCCUGCUCUGAGGAGAGUGCGUGGUAGGAAGAGGGAACAUGGAAUCAGACCAGAGAGGAGCAACUUCCCGGCUCCGGAAACACAUACGUGGUGACCAGGCCAGGCAGCCGGGAGCAGUCAGCACAGAAACGCACCCAGCUUCCUUGGAAUCCGAAGCAGCAUUGAUCUCGUUUGGUGGGAGAAACUGGAGCUCCUGGCUGAUAGGAAUCUGCAGGACGCCUGGAGAGCAGCCCUGGGCUGCCAACGCCCCAGCCGCCCACCUCAGCCCUGCUUCCCGCUGGAGUCCUCCUCGCCUGCCCGACCCCUGCCUGUUUUCCUCCUGGGUGAAAUGAGAGUACUGCCCCAGAGGAAUUCAGAAGACGCCCUCUCUUGUAGCCUGGAGAAAUAAUUAAAAUAAUCACAAACAUGUGUUAAGGGCGUGGCUCAGAACCCAGCUGGAGAGUAACUGUUCACCCAGCCUCGGUCUCCCACUCUCUGGGCCCCCCAAACCCCGGCUGAAAGGGGCAGCCUUGCAAAAAUAACAGGAAAAUGCCUAAUCCUACAAUUUCCCCAGUAACGGUUCAAGAUCAACCCUAUGAGUUCUCUCACUAACAGGUACCCUGCAGGAGUUCUGUUUUGCACAACUUCUGAAGAUAGCUGAAUGGGCAGAAGAGAGAUGUCAAUCUCUCUUCCAAAAUUGUUUUUUUUAGAACCUGCUUUUACAGAGUUCUUGAGUAAACAGCAGGAGACCGAGCUACAGCCUCAACCAUAUCUUGAGGACAGAGUCACAUCUCCUGUGAUAAUCCCUCCUCCAAGGAAAGGCAGAAAACCAAGUCUUGGACUUUGACAUCCUUGCAGCUUUUGUUAUCUACCCGCUGCCACUUUUGUUAUCAACUGACAGCUGUCACUAUUUUUUCCUUCUCUUGGUCCCCCUUAAAAUCAGCGAGCCACUUGGCCUUGCUACUGGCACCCCUGCUAUUUCUUUUGGGAUGCCACGCCCAGCUCCCUGCUCUCUUCCUCCCCUUCCCCUCUCUCUUUCUCCCUCUUUCUCUCACUCUCUUAUUCU